CUUUUUCUAAUCAGUGAAACUAAUCUUCCCGUGAAGAAGCGGGAAUACCCCUAUAAGACGAGAAGACCCCAUGGAGCUUCAAACCCAACUACACCCCUAACUUCUAUAACCCCCACCCCACGGGACCCUGUAUAGUUGGUUUUAGGUUGGGGCAACCACGGAGCACAACAAAGCCUCCACAAUGAAUGGGACCACCCCCCUUAUCUAAGAGCCACACCCCUAGGAAUUAAAACAUUAAUAUAAAAUGAUCCAUUAUUUGAUCAAUGAACCAAGUUACCCUGGGGAUAACAGCGCAAUCCAUUUCAAGAGCCCCUAUCGACAAAUGGG
rnacentral:rRNA from 1 species